GUUGAGGCGAUUGUUCGGCCCGGAACGCUUUCGGAUCGUGGCAGAAACAAGUUUUCUAUAUAGCCUAUAUAGCGCAUUCUGGAUUCAUGAUUCUGCGAAACAAUUAGUAUUAUGCUAAGUAUCUAAAUUGUAUGAUAAUGAGCUGCUUCCGCCUUGCUGAACUGAAUCCACAACAACCAAAAAAAAGCAACGUUUAGUCGUGGGAGCACUAUGUAAAUUUCUCUUGAUUGAUAAAGAAUUGCAGAGCAGCUGGGCAAAAAUUACACAAAAUA